GAGUUUGAUCCUGGCUCAGGACGAACGCUGGCGGCGUGCUUAACACAUGCAAGUCGAACGAGAAUCUGCGGAAAGAGGAUCCGUCCAAUUGAAGCAGAGGACAGUGGCGGACGGGUGAGUAACGCGUGAGGAACCUGCCUUUCAGAGGGGGACAACAGUUGGAAACGACUGCUAAUACCGCAUAACGCGUAGAGAUCGCAUGGUCUUUACGCCAAAGAUUUAUCGCUGAAAGAUGGCCUCGCGUCUGAUUAGCUAGUUGGUGAGGUAACGGCCCACCAAGGCGACGAUCAGUAGCCGGACUGAGAGGUUGAACGGCCACAUUGGGACUGAGACACGGUCCAAACUCCUACGGGAGGCAGCAGUGAGGAAUAUUGGUCAAUGGGCGAGAGCCUGAACCAGCCAAGUAGCGUGAAGGAUGACUGCCCUAUGGGUUGUAAACUUC
rnacentral:rRNA from 1 species